CGGCGUGCUUAACACAUGCAAGUCGAGCGAGAUGUAUAUAUUGGAAUCUUCGGAUGAAGAUAAAUAUAUCUAGCGGCGGACGGGUGAGUAACGCGUGGGAAACCUGCCCUAUACAGGGGGAUAGCCUCGGGAAACUGGGAUUAAUACCCCAUAACACUAUUUAGUCGCAUGGCAAAAUAGUCAAAACUCCGGUGGUAUAGGAUGGUCCCGCGUCCCAUUAGCUAGUUGGUGAGGUAACGGCUCACCAAGGCGACGAUGGGUAGCCGGCCUGAGAGGGUGAACGGCCACACUGGAACUGAGACACGGUCCAGACUCCUACGGGAGGCAGCAGUGGGGAAUAUUGCACAAUGGGCGAAAGCCUGAUGCAGCGACGCCGCGUGAGCGAAGAAGGCCUUCGGGUUGUAAACUCCUGUCAGAGGUGAAGAAUGCCCUUUAGGGGGGUUUGGCGGUAACCUCAGAGGAAGCCCCGGCUAACUACGUG
rnacentral:rRNA from 1 species